CACGGGGGGAGCAAGCGUUGUUCGGAAUCACUGGGCGUAAAGGGCGUGUAGGCGGCCUUUUAAGUCCUGCGUGAAAUCCUGCGGCUCAACCGCAGACGGUCGUGGGAAACUGGAAGGCUAGAGUGAGGGAGAGGAGAGUGGAAUUCCCGGUGUAGCGGUGAAAUGCGCAGAUAUCGGGAAGAACACCCGUGGCGAAGGCGGCUCUCUGGAACGCAACUGACGCUGAGACGCGAAAGCGUGGGGAGCAAACAGG
rnacentral:rRNA from 1 species